GGAGGAAGAGGAAGGAGAAACAUGGAGGUCAGCGAAGGAGAAAAGGCGCCGCGUCUGCUUCUCUGGUAAACACAACUAAACCAGGCGUCUACAAAGACAUUCACCACAAAUUCAAACAAAGGAUUCAAUUUAACCAAGUUAAAUAUCUUUUUCUGAAUUUUUUUAGUCAAUUACAUCAGUAAAGAAUGAAAAUGUUCAGGAAUUGAACAAAAAAUAAGUACAUCUAUGACUGACUGAUAAAUCAAUUUAUUGAUUAAAUUAAAUCUUUAAAAAUAUGGUUUACUACUCAUUUACUAAACAUGUUUAAAAAACAACUAAUCAGUUAGUUGUCCUAACAUUGCAAUUAGGAGUCAAACAGAAAA